GACGAACGCUGGCGGCACGCUUAACACAUGCAAGUCGAACGAGAGAAGAGAAGCUUGCUUUUCUGAUCUAGUGGCGGACGGGUGAGUAACACGUGAGCAAUCUGCCUUUCAGAGGGGGAUACCGAUUGGAAACGAUCGUUAAUACCGCAUAACAUAAUUGAACCGCAUGAUUUGAUUAUCAAAGAUUUAUCGCUGAAAGAUGAGCUCGCGUCUGAUUAGCUAGUUGGUAAGGUAACGGCUUACCAAGGCGACGAUCAGUAGCCGGACUGAGAGGUUGAUCGGCCACAUUGGGACUGAGACACGGCCCAGACUCCUACGGGAGGCAGCAGUGGGGAAUAUUGCACAAUGGAGGAAACUCUGAUGCAGCGAUGCCGCGUGAGGGAAGAAGGUUUUAGGAUUGUAAACCUCUGUCUUCAGGGACGAAAAAAGACGGUACCUGAGGAGGAAGCUCCGGCUAACUACGUGCCAGCAGCCGCGGUAAUACGUAGGGAGCGAGCGUUGUCCGGAAUUACUGGGUGUAAAGGGAGCGUAGGCGGGAUCGCAAGUCAGAUGUGAAAACUAUGGGCUUAACCCAUAAACUGCAUUUGAAACUGUGGUUCUUGAGUGAAGUAGAGGUAAACGGAAUUCCUAGUGUAGCGGUGAAAUGCGUAGAUAUUAGGAGGAACAUCAGUGGCGAAGGCGGCUUACUGGGCUUUAACUGACGCUGAGGCUCGAAAGCGUGGGGAGCAAACAGGAUUAGAUACCCUGGUAGUCCACGCCGUAAACGAUGAUUACUAGGUGUGGGGGGACUGACCCCUUCCGUGCCGCAGCAAACGCAAUAAGUAAUCCACCUGGGGAGUACGACCGCAAGGUUGAAACUCAAAGGAAUUGACGGGGGCCCGCACAAGCAGUGGAGUAUGUGGAUUAAUUCGAAGCAACGCGAAGAACCUUACCAGGUCUUGACAUCGUAUGCAUAGCUCAGAGAUGAGUGAAAUCUCUUCGGAGACAUAUAGACAGGUGGUGCAUGGUUGUCGUCAGCUCGUGUCGUGAGAUGUUGGGUUAAGUCCCGCAACGAGCGCAACCCUUACUGUUAGUUGCUACGCAAGAGCACUCUAGCAGGACUGCCGUUGACAAAACGGAGGAAGGUGGGGAUGACGUCAAAUCAUCAUGCCCCUUAUGACCUGGGCCUCACACGUACUACAAUGGCUGUCAACAGAGGGAAGCAAAGCCGCGAGGUGGAGCGAACCCCUAAAAGCAGUCUUAGUUCGGAUUGUAGGCUGCAACCCGCCUACAUGAAGUCGGAAUUGCUAGUAAUCGCAGAUCAGCAUGCUGCGGUGAAUACGUUCCCGGGCCUUGUACACACCGCCCGUCACGCCAUGGGAGUCGGUAACACCCGAAGCCUGUAGUCUAACCGCAAGGAGGACGCAGUCGAAGGUGGGAUUGAUGACUGGGGUG
rnacentral:rRNA from 1 species